GGUGCCUUCGGGAACUGUGAGACAGGUGCUGCAUGGCUGUCGUCAGCUCGUGUUGUGAAAUGUUGGGUUAAGUCCCGCAACGAGCGCAACCCUUAUCCUUUGUUGCCAGCGGUUAGGCCGGGAACUCAAAGGAGACUGCCAGUGAUAAACUGGAGGAAGGUGGGGAUGACGUCAAGUCAUCAUGGCCCUUACGACCAGGGCUACACACGUGCUACAAUGGCGCAUACAAAGAGAAGCGAUCUCGCGAGAGCCAGCGGACCUCAUAAAGUGCGUCGUAGUCCGGAUUGGAGUCUGCAACUCGACUCCAUGAAGUCGGAAUCGCUAGUAAUCGUGAAUCAGAAUGUCACGGUGAAUACGUUCCCGGGCCUUGUACACACCGCCCGUCACACCAUGGGAGUGGGUUGCAAAAGAAGUAGGUAGCUUAACCUUCGGGAGGGCGCUUACCACUUUGUGAUUCAUGACUGGGGUGAAGUCGUAACAAGGUAACCGUAGGGGAACCUGCGGUUGGAUCACCUCCUUA
rnacentral:rRNA from 1 species